CUCCCAUUGUAUGAGGAUAAUUUCAACCUGUCUUCUACUAAAAAGCAGCCUCUGGUGGCCUCUAUGGUUUUAGUGCACAAGAGGAACAAAAAAGGCAAGAAGAUGGAGUGACUCGAAAAUAUGUGCUUCUCCCUGGAACAAUAAUGAUUCAGCACAGAUCAAAGAAGACAAACUUUUCACAUCUUUUAGAGGUCUGAGCUCUGCUGCACUCUGUAGUUCUGCAUUCAGCUAUGUUCCUGUUUGUUCUACCCCUAAAAACAAACCCUGGAAGCAAAAGAAAAAAUAGGAACAUUCAAGUCUGAAGGAUGACAAAUGAAAAUGCUAAGAAGUGGUAUGAAAGAGAAGGAAGAUAUGGUCAUAAAUGUGGAAAUAGUGAAGGAUGUUGACUUGACUCUCUCUUGAUUACCGACUGACAAAUCUUUGCAUGGCCUUCAGCAAAGAGACAAAUCAAGCUCAGGUAUUGUUAUGAAUGUAGAUGUUGCUCAGCAACAAGAUAUCAGAGCCAGAUGAACAGACUUGUGAUGGCAGCUUUUGCUUAAAAUUUUCUGUUUUAUUUUUUAAAUGUUUCUG
ensembl:lncRNA